rnacentral:tRNA from 1 species
GUGGGUAUAGCUCAGCGGUAGAGCGCAUGCUAAGCAUGCACAAGGCUCUGGGUUCAAUCCCUAGCAUCUCCA